ensembl:lncRNA
AUGCUGAGCUCGAAUAAGAGGAGGGGGGGGGAUUUAAUAUGUGGAGGCAUCAUAGAUUCAAAGUUAAAAUGUGUCUUCAGCUAUUUUACUCUGGUGCUGCUCCACCGUGCUGUGAGUGGAUCAGGUCCUUCUACUUCCUGGACACGGUCCAACCAAACACCAACACUCUCACUUCUCUCUGCAUCGUCCAAUCAGCUCUCUCUCUUCUCUCUGCAUCGUCCAAUCAGCUCUCUCACUUCUCUCUGCAUCGACCAAUCAGCUCUCUCACCUCUCUCUGCAUCGACCAAUCAGCUCUCUCACUUCUCUCUGCAUCGACCAAUCAGCUCUCUCACCUCUCUCUGCAUCGACCAAUCAGCUCUCUCACUUCUCUCUGCAUCGACCAAUCAGCUCUCUCACCUCUCUCUGCAUCGACCAAUCAGCUCUCUCACUUCUCUCUGCAUCGACCAAUCAGCUCUCUCACUUCUCUCUGCAUCGACCAAUCAGCUCUCUCACCUCUCUCUGCAUCGACCAAUCAGCUCUCUCACUUCUCUCUGCAUCGACCAAUCAGCUCUCUCACCUCUCUCUGCAUCGACCAAUCAGCUCUCUCACUUCUCUCUGCAUCGACCAAUCAGCUCUCUCACCUCUCUCUGCAUCGACCAAUCAGCUCUCUCACCUCUCUCUGCAUCGACCAAUCAGCUCUCUCACCUCUCUCUGCAUCGACCAAUCAGCUCUCUCACUUCUCUCUGCAUCGACCAAUCAGCUCUCUCACCUCUCUCUGCAUCGACCAAUCAGCUCUCUCACCUCUCUCUGCAUCGUCCAAUCAGCUCUCUCACUUCUCUCUGCAUCGACCAAUCAGCUCUCUCACCUCUCUCUGCAUCGACCAAUCAGCUCUCUCACUUCUCUCUGCAUCGACCAAUCAGCUCUCUCACCUCUCUCUGCAUCGACCAAUCAGCUCUCUCACUUCUCUCUGCAUCGACCAAUCAGCUCUCUCACCUCUCUCUGCAUCGACCAAUCAGCUCUCUCACCUCUCUCUGCAUCGUCCAAUCAGCUCUCUCACCUCUCUCUGCAUCGACCAAUCAGCUCUCUCACCUCUCUCUGCAUCGACCAAUCAGCUCUCUCACUUCUCUCUGCAUCGACCAAUCAGCUCUCUCACCUCUCUCUGCAUCGACCAAUCAGCUCUCUCACCUCUCUCUGCAUCGACCAAUCAGCUCUCUCACCUCUCUCUGCAUCGACCAAUCAGCUCUCUCACUUCUCUCUGCAUCGACCAAUCAGCUCUCUCACCUCUCUCUGCAUCGACCAAUCAGCUCUCUCACCUCUCUCUGCAUCGUCCAAUCAGCUCUCUCACUUCUCUCUGCAUCGACCAAUCAGCUCUCUCACCUCUCUCUGCAUCGACCAAUCAGCUCUCUCACUUCUCUCUGCAUCGACCAAUCAGCUCUCUCACCUCUCUCUGCAUCGACCAAUCAGCUCUCUCACUUCUCUCUGCAUCGACCAAUCAGCUCUCUCACCUCUCUCUGCAUCGUCCAAUCAGCUCUCUCACCUCUCUCUGCAUCGACCAAUCAGCUCUCUCACCUCUCUCUGCAUCGACCAAUCAGCUCUCUCACCUCUCUCUGCAUCGACCAAUCAGCUCUCUCACCUCUCUCUGCAUCGACCAAUCAGCUCUCUCACUUCUCUCUGCAUCGUCCAAUCAGCUCUCUCACCUCUCUCUGCAUCGACCAAUCAGCUCUCUCACCUCUCUCUGCAUCGACCAAUCAGCUCUCUCACUUCUCAAUCAGCUCUCUCACCUCUCAAUCAGCUCUCUCACCUCUCUCUGCAUCGUCCAAUCAGCUCUCUCACUUCUCUCUGCAUCGACCAAUCAGCUCUCUCACUUCUCUCUGCAUCGACCAAUCAGCUCUCUCACCUCUCUCUGCAUCGACCAAUCAGCUCGCUCGAGUGGGACCCAGAGACCCUCAAAUAAAACCUGUUUGCUGUCCUGUAGGAAGUCUGCACACCUUCUGCAGACUGAACACUCACUUGUUCAAACUGCAGCUCGGA